GACUAUAACCAUAUCAUCCUGAAUAUGCCCGAUCUCAUCUGAUUUUGGAAACUAAGCGGGGUCAAGCCUGGUUAGUACUACACGGCCUGGCUAUCUCAGUUG
rnacentral:rRNA from 1 species